AACUCAUCCAGAGGGGUACAGGGACACGGCCCGACGACACCCCAGCAACCAGUCGCACGAUGCGACCAGGUGCUCAAUCCGUCCCGGGCGACAGUCGAUCCGGGGAAGAUGACCA
rnacentral:ncRNA from 2 species